GGGGAGGAUGCCCAGGAGGCACUGACUGGCUAGGACAACGGCAGCCAUGGCGAUCCAGCGAUGGAAGUCCACGGCGGCGUCAAAGGCCAGGAGAAGAAUCACCAGGUCAGAACUUCAGAGGAUGGGGAUGAAUCCUGGAACCCACCCCUGCCCACAGAACCUGCCCAUAAAACUGGUCAGAGAGAAGCCAGGGGACCUGGACAAGGGGACCUGCCAAUGCCCCCAUUCCUGCUCACCGUUCCCCAGGAGUCCGAGUGAUGAAUGAGACUCGACAGCUGAUGUUUGGUUUAAAGAUGUCUCCAACACCUGGAGAGAAGAACAAGAGUCUGGACAGGCUUCCCCACAAGGGUAGAAGAAUGGUAGACUGCCCCCCUCUCUUCUCCAGGAAGGCUGCCACAGCACUUGCCAGUGACUUUGCCAUGUUCUCAUCUCUUGUUCCAGCCUUGUUCCCCUCACUGCCCACAAUGGGCACCCAUUGCAAACAAGGGGGUAGCUUGGUAUAAUUAGAAAACUGCAGGCAGAUGCAAUCCUGCAUCCUUUGUAUAAAGAAAAUAACGCCUCUUCCUCUGACUAGCUACACCCCAGACCAAUGUGCAUGAGCUUAGUAAGUGGCAUGUAGGCUGGAUUUCAGACCACCCUUGACCUCUCAGUAGGCACGUUUGUGCAGUGCACAUGUAUGUGACACCCUUGACUACACGUGCCUGGCUCUAUACUAGGCACAAAAGACUUGAAGAGAAAUAAAACCUGACUCCUAUCCACCAGUAGCUCUCAUUUUGAAGACACGUCCCUCCCUGACUCCUACCAUUUCUUUUUUUUUUUUUUUAAUUUUUUAAUGUUU